rnacentral:tRNA from 1 species
GGGCCGUUAGCUCAACUGGUAGAGCAGCAGACUCCAGGCCCGGUAACGGGGUUCGAGUCCCUGACGGCUCACCA